rnacentral:rRNA from 1 species
GGGAAACUGAGAAUAAUACCCCAUAGAUCUACUAUGCUGGAACGCUUGUAGGUCCAAAACUCCGGUGCCCAAGGAUUGGUCUGCGGCGUAUCAGGUUGUAGUGGGUGUAACGGACCCACUAGCCAGUGACGCGUAAGGGCCUUGAGAGAGGGAGCCCUGAGAUGGACUCUGAGACAUGAGUCCAGGCCCUACGGGGCGCAGCAGUCGCGAAAACUUCACAAUGGGGGAAACCCCGAUGAGGGAAUUCCAAGUGUCAGCACAUUGUGUUGACUGUUCCCCUGUCUAAAAGACAGGAGAAGUAAGGGCCGGGUGAGACGGGUGCCAGCCGCCGCGGUAAUACCCGCGGCCCGAGUGGUGGUCGAUAUUAUUGAGCUUAAAACGUUCGUAGCCGGUCUUGUAAAUCCUUGGGUAAAUCGGCCAGCUUAACUGUCCGAAGUCCGGGGAGACUGCAAGACUUGGGAUCGGGAGAGGUCAGAGGUACUUCUAGGGUAGGGGUAAAAUCCUGUAAUCCUAGAAGGACCACCGGUGGCGAAGGCGUCUGACUAGAACGAAUUCGACGGUGAGGAACGAAGCCCUGGGGCGCAAACGGGAUUAGAUACCCCGGUAGUCCAGGGUGUAAACGCUGCGGGCUUGGUGUUGGGGGUCCUUUGUGGGCGCCCAGUGCCGGAGAGAAGUUGUUAAGCCUGCUGCUUGGGGAGUACGUCCGCAAGGAUGAAACUUAA